rnacentral:rRNA from 1 species
AUUGAACGCUGGCGGCAUGCCUUACACAUGCAAGUCGAACGGUAACAGGUCUUCGGAUGCUGACGAGUGGCGAACGGGUGAGUAAUACAUCGGAACGUGCCUAGUAGUGGGGGGAUAACUGCUCGAAAGAGCAGCUAAUACCGCAUACGACCUGAGGGUGAAAGGGGGGGAUCGCAAGACCUCUCGCUAUUGGAGCGGCCGAUAUCAGAUUAGCUAGUUGGUGGGGUAAAGGCCUACCAAGGCAACGAUCCGUAGUUGGUCUGAGAGGACGACCAGCCACACUGGGACUGAGACACGGCCCAGACUCCUACGGGAGGCAGCAGGGGGGAAUUUUGGACAAUGGGCGCAAGCCUGAUCCAGCAAUGCCGCGUGCAGGAAGAAGGCCUUCGGGUUGUAAACUGCUUUUGUCAGGGAAGAAAUCUUCUGGGCUAAUACCCCGGGAGGAUGACGGUACCUGAAGAAUAAGCACCGGCUAACUACGUGCCAGCCGCCGCGGUAA